GUAGGUGGCAAGCGUUGUCCGGAAUUAUUGGGCGUAAAGCGCGCGCAGGCGGUUCUUUAAGUCUGAUGUGAAAGCCCACGGCUCAACCGUGGAGGGUCAUUGGAAACUGGAGAACUUGAGUACAGAAGAGGAAAGCGGAAUUCCACGUGUAGCGGUGAAAUGCGUAGAGAUGUGGAGGAACACCAGUGGCGAAGGCGGCUUUCUGGUCUGUAACUGACGCUGAGGCGCGAAAGCGUGGGGAGCAAACAGGGAUUAGAUACCCUGGUAGUCCACGCCGUAAACGAUGAGUGCUAAGUGUUAGGGGGGUUUCCGCCCCCCUUAGUGCUGCAGCUAACGCAUUAAGCACUCCGCCUGGGGAGUACGACCGCAAGGUUG
rnacentral:rRNA from 1 species